rnacentral:rRNA from 1 species
AGUGAACGCUGGCGGUAGGCCUAACACAUGCAAGUCGAACGGCCGCACAGUAAGAGCUUGCUCUUACGGGUGGCGAGUGGCGGACGGGUGAGGCAUACAUCGGAAUCCACUUUUUCGUGGGGGAUAACGUAGGGAAACAUCCGCUAAUACCGCAUACGACCUACGGGUGAAAGCAGGAGAUCUUCGGACCUUGCCCGUCUGUAUGAGCCGAUGUCGGAUUAGCUAGUUGGCGGGGUAAAGGCCCACCAAGGCAACGAUACGUAGCUGGUCUGAGAGGAUGAUCAGCCACACUGGAACUGAGACACGGUCCAGACUCCUACGGGAGGCAGCAGUAGGGAAUAUUGGACAAUGGGCGCAAGCCUGAUCCAGCCAUGCCGCGUGUGUGAAGAAGGCCUUCGGGUUGUAAAGCCCUGUUGUUGGGGAAGAAAAGCAGCAGGUUAAUACCCCGCUGUUCUGACGGUACCCAAAGAAUAAGCACCGGCUAACUUCGUG